rnacentral:lncRNA from 1 species
UUCUUCCUUUCCCGUUGGAGGCAGAGCGGCUGUGUGCGGCGGCGGGAGUUGGCGGGGGCGGCUGCGCGAGUCCAGGCGGCGGGCACCGGCCACGCGAGUGCGCGUGAGGCGACGGGCGGCNNNNNNNNNNGGCGCCAGCCGCACGAGUGGGCGCGAGGUGACGGGUGGCGGGGGCUACGGGCGGCGGGUGGCAGCCGCGCGAGUGGGCGUGAGGAGGGCGCCUCUGCAUUGCGGCGCGACAACCAUGCCUCUGUCAUCUGGCACUUCCCCACGCAUGUGACGUUUCGUCAGGCCAAAACCAAUCAUUUCUUCCCAUUGAUCGAUGCUCCCAAUCUUGCUUGCUAGAUGCUCUUUAUUUACUAUCUAUGUAUUUAUGAAUUGCUAUUAUCGAUUGAUUGAUGGGAAGCCAACACUUUGUGUUGUGUUUGAUUACCGAAUUAAUUAGCGUUAAACCUGUGCAUCCAACAUGGGUUACCAAUUUUUUUCCCAGUGAUGAUUGGCGGAUGUAGUUGUACUCCUCUAGCCUCCACAUGUUUUUGUAUGAUAUAUUGCAGUGCAGUUGAAUUAUAUAAGGAACUCCUGUUAUCUGUUUGGCUACUUCUUAUAUAGCUGAUGUUAGAAUGUUACCAAGG